CGGCGAACGGGUGAGUAACGCGUGGAUUAUCUGCCCUGAGGUGGGGGAUAACCCGGGGAAACUCGGGCUAAUACCGCAUAUGACCGUGAGGUCAAAGGGGGGUCGCAAGAUCUCUCGCCAUAGGAGGGGUCCGCGUACGAUUAGCUAGUUGGUAGGGUAAUGGCCUACCAAGGCGACGAUCGUUAGCCGGCCUGAGAGGGUGAUCGGCCACACUGGAGCUGAGACACGGUCCAG
rnacentral:rRNA from 1 species